rnacentral:tRNA from 1 species
GGCCGGAGGAGGAGGGUUAUCGCCUGUUAAGCGAGCGGUCGCGGGUUCGAAUCCCGCCGUCCGGCCUGCA